rnacentral:rRNA from 1 species
UACGGGGGGAGCAAGCGUUGUUCGGAAUUACUGGGCGUAAAGCGCGCGUAGGCGGACCUGCAAGUCGGGGGUGAAAGCCCGAGGCUCAACCUCGGAACUGCCUUCGAUACUGCGGGUCUCGAGUCCGGGAGAGGUGAGUGGAAUUCCUAGUGUAGAGGUGAAAUUCGUAGAUAUUAGGAAGAACACCAGUGGCGAAGGCGGCUCACUGGCCCGGUACUGACGCUGAGGCGCGAAAGCGUGGGGAGCAAACAGG